CCUACGGGUGGCAGCAGUGAGGAAUAUUGGUCAAUGGACGAGAGUCUGAACCAGCCAAGUAGCGUGAAGGAUGACUGCCCUAUGGGUUGUAAACUUCUUUUAUAUGGGAAUAAAACGUUCCACGUGUGGGAUUUUGUAUGUACCAUAUGAAUAAGGAUCGGCUAACUCCGUGCCAGCAGCCGCGGUAAUACGGAGGGUCCGAGCGUUAUCCGGAUUUAUUGGGUUUAAAGGGAGCGUAGGGGGAUUGUUAAGUCAGUUGUGAAAGUUUGCGGCUCAACCGGAAAAUUGCAGUUGAAACUGGCAGUCUUGAGUACAGUAGAGGUGGGCGGAAUUCGUGGUGUAGCGGUGAAAUGCUUAGAGAUCACGAAGAACUCCGAUUGCGAAGGCAGUUCACUGGACUGCAACUGACACUGAGGCUCGAAAGUGUGGGUAUCAAACAGGAUUAGAUACCCCAGUAGUA
rnacentral:rRNA from 1 species